GGAGUUGUGGCUCAGUGGUAGAGUGCUUGCCUAGCAUGAAUGAGGCGCUGGGUUUGAUUCUCAGUACCA
rnacentral:tRNA from 1 species